AUGACCAGAGAUAAUCUAAGGAAAAGACACAUCAUUAAACCCCUCGAGUGUGUCUUUUGCUCUGAGUGUGAAACCAAUUUUCACUUGUUUUUUGACUGUAUUGUGGCAAAAAAUAUCUGGUCAUUCGUGUCUGACCACUUCAAAGUCCCAAUAGGGACUGACUUUGAAUCUGUAGCCAGAUUCUGAAUCUAUAACAAGAGAAACUCAGCCUUAAAUUCUGUUUCGUCAGCAGUCCUGUGGUGUGUGUGGAAGUAUAGGAACUCUAUAAUCUUUAACAACACCAUUUGGACUUCUAUUAUCCAGGUAUGGAGACUGAUCCUCAAAAUGCUCAAGUUUUGGGCGAUCCUGGCUCCGGAAAGUGGCAGGGCAAGACUGGAGGAGUUCCUGACAGCGCUAGCAGCGUUCUCCCAGCAGCCGUUGAGGAUAACGGGUGGCUAA
rnacentral:rRNA from 1 species